CCUUACCCAGACUUGACAUCGAUCGCAAGGGCCUGAAAGGACUCCCUCCCUCUCAAGGGGACGUGAAGACACUUGUUGCAUGGCUGUCGUCAGCUCGUGCCGUGAGGUGUACGGUUAAGUCCGCCAACGAGCGCAACCCUCGUCCUGUGUUACCAGCGUGAAAGACGGGGACUCACAGGAGACCGCCGGUGUAAGCCGGAGGAAGGUGGGGAUGACGUCAAGUCAGCAUGGCAGUUACGUCUGGGGCUUCACACAUGCUACAAUGGGCGAAACAGAGGGCCGCAAAGCCGCGAGGCGGAGCCAAUCCCAAAAAUACGCCCCCAGUUCAGAUUGCAGUCUGCAACUCGACUGCAUGAAGGCGGAAUCGCUAGUAAACGCAGGUCAGCUAUACUGCGUUGAAUACGUUCCCGGGUCUUGUACACACCGCCU
rnacentral:rRNA from 1 species